rfam:Valsa mali var. pyri strain SXYL134 unplaced genomic scaffold scaffold00069, whole genome shotgun sequence.
GGGCAUAUGGUCUAGGGGUAUGAUAUCUGCUUCGCAUCUUCGCUUCUGCAGAGGGUCCCCGGUUCAAAUCCGGGUAUGUCCA